GCAGAGCUCGUAUCGAGCUCACAAUCAGCGAUUCACUGCGUGCAUUUUCGUGAGUGUAUUUGCCUUCAUUUUUAAGGUAGGCAACCGCGAGCCUGAGCCUGUGCGAGCAUUGAUAGUCGUCUCUAAAUGAGGAUGCAUCUUCACAAACCACCGCUUGAAGCAUGGUAUUUAAUAUCACCAUUUUGUUAUGAAGGAAUCCGGUUUUGCUCACACUGUAAAUAAAGUCGAACUUGUUUCAUCCAAAAAAUCAUAAAAUGACGAUGCAUCAGUUUCCGAUUGAUACCGUGAUCCUCCUAACUCUUAAAGUUGAAACUUCACAAAAAUCCUUUUUCUAUGAUGCCAAACUGAACCAAUUAAUUCUUUCGGAAUUUUUCCAGAUGUCACAAACCAAGGGACUCACUAUUUUCCUGGCUUCCGGCUUCAGAAACUUCUCUGGGUGAAAUUGGGCAUUUCUACUUUUGUUCAUGGGAAGUGUUCGCCUAUUUCUGGAGAAUCUCAUCAAGUACGGGAUACGGGUUGAUCCUCAGCAAUGGUUCACUGUGCUGCUUGAUGAUGCCGCUGGAAGGCACCACCAUUUCCAUCCGUCUCUUAUUCUUUUAAUUUUUACCAGUGUCCCUGUCAUGUUCUGUUUACUCAUGAAAAAGGUUUACACCAGGAGGUGAUUCCAAAUCGAGUCGGAAUGACAGCUCAUGUCGUGAACCUGAUGGUUUUAGUUUUGACGCCGAUAGUGGCUCUGCAGCCUCUACCAUCUUACUUUAGCUUGGGUAAGUAAUAAACGAACCGUAGGUUAUACUGCCGCACGCCGCACUGAGGAAGACACCGUAUGAACCACGAGGCGUUGCAAAAUUUCCUUUCAUAAAACGCAAAUUUUUGGGAACCACCAGAGUAAAUAUUAUUCUCCAAAUUGUUAGAAAUUUGGGUCGCAAUUUA
rnacentral:lncRNA from 1 species